CCGAUAAAUACUCGCUUGCUCGGCCUUCUAAGCCGUAGGUCACACGUUCGAAUCGUGUAGGGCGGGCCA
rnacentral:tRNA from 2 species